AUGCAGUCCAGGAACCUCCGUGGGCAUUACCGCAGUAUAUAAAUGAUGCUGAAGCGGAAACACGUUUUUUCAAGUUCCUGUAUUUUUAUGUGGAGUUGCUCACUGCCCAACGUAGAGGACUAGGAAUCAGGAGUCGGUGGCCGUAUGCUGGAGGCUGGAGCCGCGGGAGCGCGGCUCGCCUCGCUGCGGUUGUUGGCAGUGACGGAGAGAGAGCAGCGCGGCUGGAGCAGUGACACAAAUCACUAUGUAAUAUAGUUAGCCUUUGAACAACACGGAUUUGAACUGCAGGGGUCUACUUAUGAGCAGAUUUUCUCCCACCUCUACCACCUGAGACAGCGAAGACCAAUCUUCCUCUUCCUCCUUCUCCUUAGCCUGCUCAACUUGAAGACUAUGAUGAAGAGUUAUAUAAUGAUCUACUUGCAUUUAAUGAACAAUAGUUUCCCUUGCAAAGUUAUCAAAGUGCUCCCCAGAAGACAUUAGGUAUUUGCUUUCUAGUCUACAUACAAUGAAAAGGAAAAAACGUCAGUUCCUGAAGCUCUCUCAAAACAUCAACAGAUGGAAAGACGUGCCCAUGUCCUCCCCUCCCUCCACUCUGGGGGCUUGGAAAUGCUGCAGCAGGGAGCAGGCCCCAGGCUGGACCUGCCCUGUCCUCACGACGAGUGUGUGCAAAAGUGAACAAUAAAUCAUUUCAAAGAUGCAAGGAAGAAAAACCAAAACAUCAACAGAAUCUUCUUUCCCAUAAUCUUCAUGCACCUCCUGGUCCGGAUGAGUUUAUGUUCCCAUCUCCGAGCACAGGGAUUGAUUGUGAUGGCAUUUAUAGGACUGAGUGCCCCACACUCUGUGAUCCAGCAUGGAGUUAUGAUUUACAUCACCACAGGAAGAGUACAGAGGCUUCAACAGAAAAAAAGCAAAAACAACAGACCUUCAUUCAGCUUAGGAACAUAAUAAAUAGGACGAAGUUGAAUAAACGAAAUGGAGGGGAGUGAAGUAUUCCAGAUGGAAGAGGCAGUACGUGGCCAAGAGGAAACAGACCAUGUGCGCUGGAGAAAAAGGAUGGCCAGACUUGCAGAAACCUGGAAUUGGUGAUUGGCUUUAGAAGUGGAGAGACAAAAAAGGAGGCAUAGAAAGUGCCAACAUUUGGCUACACAGGGAAGAAAGACGUAAAAUAAUAAAAACAUUGGCAUCACCUGUAGACUCAAAUCCUGUGAGUGAAGGACCUGAGCAAUGAAGGAUGGAUUGAACUCGUGAUUAGCCUUCUUCAGCAUAUGUAAAAUGAUGUCUGCUUUUCUUCUCUAUUUGUCAUUUUACCGACUUUUUAUAUAUAGUAGUUUCCCCAUAUCCAUGGAGGAUGUAUCCCAAGACCCCCAGAGGAUGCUUGAAACCACAGAUAAUAACAAACUCUAUGUAUCCUAUGAUUUUUCCUGUACAUCCUUACCUAUCAUAAAGUGAGUGUAUAAACUAGGCACAGGAGAUUAAAAACAAUAACUCAUAAUAAAAUAGAACAAUUAGUACAACCUAAUGAAAGUUAUCUGAAUGUGAUCUCUCUCAAAAUAUCUUAUUGUAGUGUACCAUGGGUAACUGAAAUGAUAGAAAACAAAAUUGCUGAUAAAGGGGGAUAUUGUAGUAAAAUAAAGGGGGAUGGGUAGAGCGUAGGAAGCAUUCACAAUUAGAACAGUUGGCAGUAGGGAAAGAAACAUACUUUAAAUUGGAAUGUGGAUCACAUGGCUGCCUCCUGCCAGUCAUGAUCGCAGGGUACAGAGGCCUCUGGUAUGUCAGGUCUUCUCUCCCACCACUAAUACUGCCCAAAAGACUCCAUCAGCAACCAGAGCUGAAUCACACACAACCCAGAUUGUCAUUUCUGAUGACUUUGACUUAAACAAACAGACAUAUUUUUAAUCUUUUUAGUGUGUGUGAAACUAGCAAGGCCUAAUGAAUUGAGUAUAUGGAUGAGGUUUGUGGCCUCUGUAACGUUUUCUCCAACCAGAACCUACUGAAAUAGCACAGAUGGUGAUGAGUAUGGUUCAAACACAAGAAUUCUUGGAAAUUGAAGUUGAAGUAUAAGGAGAAUUUUUACAUCACCCAGGUUCUAAUUUGGAAGGUUUCUAACAGCCCUCUGUCCUCUUCUGGUGCUCACUGUGAAAGAAUUUGCACCCUGCAACACUAAGUGUUUGUGCUAGAAUCCACUUCUGAUGUUGGCUGCUCUGACACAGCUUCCAUUCGGUAUUUAUGUUGAGUUCUUUCAUUUUAUGUUGCUCUAAUAGAAUACUUUAGACUGUGUAAUUUACAAAGAGUGAAGUUUUAUUUCUUACAGUUCUGGAGGCUGGGGAGUCCACCCCAGGUGCUGGCAUCUUGUGAGAACCCUCCUGCUGUGUCAUUCCAUGGCAGAAGGCAAAAGUGCAAGAGAAUGCCAGAGAGCAAGAAGGGGAAGAACUCAGUUUUAUAACAAACUCACUCUCAAGAUAACUAACCCAUUCCUGCUAUAGCAACAUUCAUCCAUUCAUGAGGGCAGAGCCCACAUGACCCAAUCACAUCUUACUUGGCUGCAUCUCUCAACACUGUUCCAUUAGGAAUUAAGUAUUUAACACAUGACCUUUGGGAGACGCAUUCAAACCAUAGCAUAUGUCCUCUAUGCAGUUGCCUUGUCUAGAUGUAGGACACUGAGAAUUUACCACCCUUCCAGCAUUGACGUGCUCUCUAGGUGGCUCAAGAAUUCUUGGCUGUGUCUCCACCAGGCUUCAAGACCCUCCAUUAGCCUGGCUUUUGGACCUCUGUGGUUCCAGCCCUUGCUAGACACGGGUUUCUCUAAGAGAUCUGUAUUCUCCACAGUCUGUAUACAGAAAAGAUAGUCUCAAAUCUCCUCUGAUUUAGGGCCCUGAUAAAAAUUACUUGGUCUUCUACUCUACAACCUCACCAUACCCCUUCAGGUUUUGAACCUGGGAGAGACAGAAUAUGGAACACUUUCUUAAAAAUAAAUGCAUACUUGACAUUAAUAAGGGAUUUACAAUCUAUUCACUAUGAAAUCCUCAGGAACAUGUAGGUUUUUCCAAGAAGUAAAAAACAAUUAUUUUCAUUUAAGUCAUAUGUCAAUUAACAAUAUUUUUUACACAAUUAAAAAUCUCAUUUUUGUUAUGAAAUGUGAAACACAUUUCCUUUGUUUUUGAGGCAGGGUCUCACUCUUGUCGCCCAGACUGCAUUGCAGUGGGGUGAUCUCGGCUCAUUGCAACCUCUGUCUCCCGGAUUCAAGCAAUUCUCCUGCCUCAGCCCCCCAAGUAGCUGGGUUUACAGGUAUGUGCAACCAUGCCCAGCUAAUUUUUUUUUGUAUUUUUUUCAGUAGACAUGGUUUUUUUUUUUAAAUUUUAUUAUUAUUAUACUUUAAGUUUUAGGGUACAUGUGCGCAACGUGCAGAUUUGUUACAUAUGUAUAUAUGUGCCAUGUUGGUGUGCUGCACCCAUUAACUCGUCAUUUAGCAUUAGGUAUAUCUCCUAAUGCUAUCCCUCCCCACUCCCACCACCCCACAACAGUCC
rnacentral:lncRNA from 1 species